rnacentral:rRNA from 1 species
GUCUAUGGCCAUGCUGCCCUGAACAAGCCCGAUCCCGUCUGAUCUCGCAAACUAAGCAGGGUCGGGCCUGGUUAGUACUUGGAUGGGAGACCACCUAGGAUUACCAGGUACUGUAGGCA